CGAGGGGAGCAAGCGUUGUUCGGAUUUACUGGGCGUAAAGGGCGCGUAGGCGGCGUGACAAGUCACUUGUGAAAUCUCCGGGCUUAACUCGGAACGGUCAAGUGAAACUGUCGUGCUAGAGUACAGAAGGGGCAACUGGAAUUCUCGGUGUAGCGGUGAAAUGCGUAGAUAUCGAGAGGAACACCUGCGGCGAAGGCGGGUUGCUGGGCUGAUACUGACGCUGAGGCGCGAAAGCCAGGGGAGCGAACGGGAUUAGAUACCCCGGUAGUCCUGGCCUUAAACGAUGAAUGCUUGGUGUCUCGGGUUACAUAGUCCCGGGGUGCCGUCGCUAACGCUUUUAGCAUUCCGCCUGGGGAGUACGGUCGCAAGACUG
rnacentral:rRNA from 1 species